GAUGAACGCUAGCGGCAGGCCUAACACAUGCAAGUCGAGGGGUAACUAGAGUGAUAGCAAUAUUACUUUGGCUAGACCGGCGCACGGGUGCGUAACACGUAUGCAACCUACCUUAUACUGGGGAAUAACUUCGAGAAAUCGGCGCUAAUACCCCAUAACAUUGCGAAGAGGCAUCUCUUUGCAAUUGAAGCUCCGGCGGUAUAAGAUGGGCAUGCGUCCAAUUAGCUAGUUGGUGAGGUAACGGCUCACCAAGGCUACGAUUGGUAGGGGUUCUGAGAGGAUGAUCCCCCACACUGGUACUGAGACACGGACCAGACUCCUACGGGAGGCAGCAGUGAGGAAUAUUGCGCAAUGGACGAAAGUCUGACGCAGCCAUGCCGCGUGCGGGAUGACGGCCCUAUGGGUUGUAAACUGCUUUUGUACGGGAAUAAACCCUUCUACGUGUAGGAGGCUGAAGGUACCGUAAGAAUAAGCACCGGCUAACUCCGUGCCAGCAGCCGCCGUAACAC
rnacentral:rRNA from 1 species